rnacentral:lncRNA from 1 species
AAGUGUCUAUAGGCAAGUCUUUCGGCUGUAGCAAUACAUCCUGUCAAAGCUUGUCACAUAAAGUGUUUCAUAUUCCCAGGAGUGGGGAUACUCCACACAUGGCUCUGUAAACCAGUGAUACUCGGUUGUACAAUCUGGACUUUGUCAUCACACAAUUUAGUCUUCUAUAAACGUUGAUAUCCUGAUUUUACUGAGUAAACG